CCUGCAUUUUUCAUAGAUUGGAGAAAGUGGACAUGGUGAACAAACAGACCCUCAGACUAACCAAGUUACUCAGUCUGCUGAAGUUCUGCAACAGGAGGACGAACAAACUUACGCUUCUGUCCACGAACCUAAAACUGGGAAGAAGAAAAAAGCCCAAAAAGAAACGGAUGGAGGAAGUGGCAGGAAAACCCAGGUUGGAAAUAGUGCACAGAGUGGCCUGCUGCAGGAGGAUGACAUCACAUAUGCCUCCGUGAGCAUCAAACCCAAUAAACCUGAAGAAAGAGUCAUCUCCACUGUCCAGCUAGAAGAGGAUGAUUCUGUUAUCUACAGUGCAGUGGCCACUAAGUGAUCAAAUCUCCACACGUCAUUUAACCACAAAGUUCACAGCCUGUUUAUUUUCCUGUGCAGCACUAAAUAGAAAGUGAAUGUAAGCUUUCGAAUGUUGCAGGUGAUGUUUGGUCUCGUUAUUUCUUCAGUUUAUAGUGUAGCUACUUCUUUAUUAUAAUUUUUAUAUCAGCUGGGAACUGCUUCACAAACUGCUAUUGGUUCUUAUUAACUAGAAUUAUUUGUGUAAAACCAAAACUUGCAUUUAAUACAGUAAAACAUGUUGUCUUUUAUUUUCAUCAUAUAUGUGUCACAGAUCUAAAUUCAAUGCUUGCUUGGUGCUACAGUAUAUGAUCUAUUGUAAAAGCUUAGUUUUGAAUGUAUUGUGGAAUUGUCUGUACAGCUAUUAAAGUAUUUACUGAACUGGA